GAUGAACGCUGGCGGCGUGCCUAAUACAUGCAAGUCGAGCGAACAGACGAGGAGCUUGCUCCUCUGACGUUAGCGGCGGACGGGUGAGUAACACGUGGAUAACCUACCUAUAAGACUGGGAUAACUUCGGGAAACCGGUGCUAAUACCGGAUAAUAUAUUGAACCGCAUGGUUCAAUAGUGAAAGACGGUUUUGCUGUCACUUAUAGAUGGAUCCGCGCCGCAUUAGCUAGUUGGUAAGGUAACGGCUUACCAAGGCGACGAUGCGUAGCCGACCUGAGAGGGUGAUCGGCCACACUGGAACUGAGACACGGUCCAGACUCCUACGGGAGGCAGCAGUAGGGAAUCUUCCGCAAUGGGCGAAAGCCUGACGGAGCAACGCCGCGUGAGUGAUGAAGGUCUUCGGAUCGUAAAACUCUGUUAUUAGGGAAGAACAAAUGUGUAAGUAACUAUGCACGUCUUGACGGUACCUAAUCAGAAAGCCACGGCUAACUACGUG
rnacentral:rRNA from 1 species